rnacentral:rRNA from 1 species
CGGUUCCUACGGGGGGCAGCAGUGGGGAAUAUUGCACAAUGGGGGAAACCCUGAUGCAGCAACGCCGCGUGGGUGAAGGAGCGUUUCGGCGCGUAAAGCCCUGUCAGCGGGGAAGAAGAAAGACGGUACCCGACCAAGAAGCCCCGGCUAACUACGUGCCAGCAGCCGCGGUAAUACGUAGGGGGCAAGCGUUAUCCGGAUUUACUGGGUGUAAAGGGAGCGUAGACGGUGAUGCAAGUCAGAAGUGAAAGCCCGCGGCGCAACUGC